rnacentral:rRNA from 1 species
AUUGAACGCUGGCGGCAGGCCUAACACAUGCAAGUCGAACGAGUGGCGGACGGGUGAGUAAUGUCUGGGAAACUGCCCGAUGGAGGGGGAUAACUACUGGAAACGGUAGCUAAUACCGCAUACUAUCAGAUGUGCCCAUAUGGGAUUAGCUUGUUGGUGGGUUAACGGCUCACCAAGGCGACGAUCGCUAGCUGGUCUGAGAGGAUGACCAGCCACACUGGAACUGAGACACGGUCCAGACUCCUACGGGGGGCAGCAGUGGGGAAUAUUGGACAAUGGGCGAAAGCCUGAGACAGCCAUGCCGCGUGUAUGAAGAAGGCCUUCGGGUUGUAAAGUACUUUCAGCGGGGAGGCGUUACCCGCAGAAGAAGCACCGGCUAACUCCGUGCCAGCAGCCGCGGUAAUUC